GCCGAACCAUCAUGUUGCUUCACCUGAUGCAUUCAUGCAUACUUAGCCUUGAAGAAUAGCCUUAAUUCCAUGAAUGUGCAGCCCUUUAAUGUUCCUACAUCUCCUUUGGCUGAAUGGAGCUUUAAAGUGUCUUAAAAACUUGAAUGAUCAUCAUGAAAAUACAUGGAACAUGCCUAAAACGUCCCAAGAUAUGUUCUUCCUUAAAUUCUGUCCAUAAAUGUGCAAAUGCAUGACCAUUCAGCAGCCCCC
rnacentral:lncRNA from 1 species